AGUGAACGCUGGCGGUGGGCCUAACACAUGCAAGUCGAACGGCAGCACAGUAAGAGCUUGCUCUUACGGGUGGCGAGUGGCGGACGGGUGAGGAAUACAUCGGAAUCUACUUUUUCGUGGGGGAUAACGUAGGGAAACUUACGCUAAUACCGCAUACGACCUACGGGUGAAAGCAGGGGAUCUUCGGACCUUGCGCGAUUGAAUGAGCCGAUGUCGGAUUAGCUAGUUGGGGGGGUAAAGGCCCACCAAGGCGACGAUCCGUAGCUGGUCUGAGAGGAUGGUCGGCCACACUGGAACGGAGACACGGUCCAGACUCCUACGGGAGGCAGCAGUGGGGAAUAUUGGACAAUGGGCGCAAGCCUGAUCCAGCCAUACCGCGUGGGUGAAGAAGGCCUUCGGGUUGUAAAGCCCUUUUGUUGGGAAAGAAAAGCAGCAGGUUAAUACCCCGCUGUUCUGACGGUACCCAAAGAAUAAGCACCGGCUAACUUCGUG
rnacentral:rRNA from 1 species